CUAUGGUUUAUUGGAUCUUACCCGUUAUAUGGAUAACUGUAAUAACUCUAGAGCUAAUACAUGCCUCGAUGCCCUGACCCCGGUUGGGUUGCACUUGUUUGUAGCCUGGCCAGGGAAUGGGUGCACUUAUUAGACUAGAAGCCAACCAUGCAGUCCACUUUCGGGUGCCUGUGUGCUGUCCUUCUGGUGACUCUGGAUAAUUGUUACAGAUCGCAGUCGGCCUUGUGUCGGCGACGGGUCCUUCAAAUGUCUGCCCUAUCAACUUUCGAUGGUAGGUGACCUGCCUACCAUGGUGAUAACGGGUAACGGGGAAUCAGGGUUCGAUUCCGGAGAGGGAGCCUGAGAAACGGCUACCACUUCCAAGGAAGGCAGCAGGCGCGCAAAUUACCCACUCCCAGUACGGGGAGGUGGUGACGAAAAAUACCGAUGCGGGACUCGUCAACGAGGCUCCGUAAUCGGAAUGAGUUGACUUUAAAUCCUUUAACGAGGACCCAUUGGAGGGCAAGUCUGGUGCCAGCAGCCGCGGUAACUCCAGCUCCAAUAGCGUAUAUUAAAGUUGCUGCAGUUAAAAAGCUCGUAGUUGGAUCUCGGUUGCACUGUCGCCUGUUAGUCCUUUGAAGGUAGUGCUAACGUUUGCCAGUGUUUCGUGUGUGCAGCCAGUUGGCCGUAGUAGGCGCACACGCGCAGGCGUCGACUAUGCAUACUUCUGCUGGUUGGCUGUCUGUUAGCGUUGUUGUCGUUGUACACGUGUCGACUGUUGCCAUACUGCUGGUAGGCGGCUCUUUCAAGCUAGCAGUGGUGAUGGUGUCGCCUUUCAGCCAUGUCUGUGGUGCAAUACCCACAGGUGUAGGCGAGUGUCAGGCGGUGCAUGGCCUUCAGUGUUGUGUCCGUCGGCUCGCUUGCAUGCCUUUGGAUGCCCUUCACCGGGUGUUCACAGGCGGAUGGCACGUUUACUUUGAACAAAUUUGAGUGCUCAAACCAGGCCGAUGUUGCCUGAAAAGUUUUGCAUGGAAUAAUGGAAUAGGACUUCGGUUCUAUUUCGUUGGUUUUCGGAUCCGAAGUAAUGAUCAACAGAGACAGGCGGGGACGUUUGUAUGGCUGCGCUAGAGGUGAAAUUCAUGGACCGUAGCCAGACAAACUAAAGCGAAAGCAUUCGUCAAGCAUGUUUUCAUUGACCAUGAGCGAAAGUCAGAGGCUCGAAGACGAUCAGAUACCGUCCUAGUUCUGACCAUAAACGAUGCCAACUGACGAUCCGUGGUGGUAGUCCAUUUAUAUCUUCCCCACGGGCAGUCUCCGGGAAACCUUUAAGUCUUUGGGUUCCGGGGGAAGUAUGGUUGCAAAGCUGAAACUUAAAGGAAUUGACGGAAGGGCACCACCAGGAGUGGAGCCUGCGGCUUAAUUUGACUCAACACGGGAAAACUCACCCGGCCCGGACACUAUGAGGAUUGACAGAUUGAUAGCUCUUUCUUGAUUUGGUGGUUGGUGGUGCAUGGCCGUUCUUAGUUGGUGGAGCGAUUUGUCUGGUUAAUUCCGGUAACGAACGAGACUCUAGCCUGCUAAUUAGUACAAUCGUCAACUGUAUCUGUGUCGGCGGCGUUCGGCGAGGCUUUUCUCGACAAAGCCCUGGGUUCGGUUGCUCACAUGCAUGGUGUGCUGCUGUGCCUAGCUGUCCACGCUAUGUGCCUUGGUGGUGUCGGGCGUUCUGCGUCUGCCCGCCUCGGUGCUGGUUGUGGCUCUUUGUACACUGCAUGCCGUUAUGUGUGUGUGUAGUUAGCCAGCUCUUGGUUCAGAUGGCUGGUUCAGCGUUAGCCACCGGGUACGGCGCGAUUUGUCUACUUCUUAGAGGGACAAGCGGAGUCAAGCCGCACGAAAUUGAGCAAUAACAGGUCUGUGAUGCCCUUAGAUGUCCGGGGCCGCACGCGCGCUACAAUGACGGUGCCAACGAGUCUGACCUUCUGGCCCGAAAGGGUUGGGCAAACUGGUCAAUCACCGUCAUGACAGGGAUCGGGGCUUGGAAUUGUUCCCCGUGAACGAGGAAUUCCUAGUAAGUGCAAGUCAUAAGCUUGCGCUGAUUACGUCCCUGCCCUUUGUACACACCGCCCGUCGCUACUACCGAUUGAAUGGUUUAGUAAGGUCCUUGGAUUGGUGCCAUUGUGGUGGCUGUCGAAAGACAUCCACCCGACAGGCGCUAAGAAGACGACCAAACUUGAUCAUUUAGA
rnacentral:rRNA from 1 species